GAUGAACGCUAGCUACAGGCUUAACACAUGCAAGUCGAGGGACCGGCGCACGGGUGAGUAACACGUAUCCAACCUUCCCUUUACUCGGGGAUAGCCUUUCGAAAGAAAGAUUAAUACCCGAUGUAAAGGAUGGGGAUGCGUUACAUUAGGUUGUUGGUGAGGUAACGGCUCACCAAGCCUUCGAUGGAUAGGGGUUCUGAGUGGAAGGUCCACCACAUUGGAACUGAGACACGGUCCAAACUCCUACGGGAGGCAGCAGUGAAGAAUAUUGGUCAAUGAGCGUUAGCCUGAACCAGUCAAGUAGCGUGAAGGAUGAAGGCUUAUGGGUCGUAAACUUCUUUUAUAUAAGAAUCUGUAUUAUCUGAAUAAGGAUCGGCUAACUCCGUGCCAGCAGCCGCGGUAAUUC
rnacentral:rRNA from 1 species